CCUCCCCUUUUUGUGUUGACUGUGGCUUCAGGUAUGCACUGCUAACAGGUAGCAUUCGCUUAACCUUUAAUGGCAAACACUUAUACUUAUGAUUUUGGUUGUUGCAUCCCAGCCUGUCUGUUUUAUCAGUGUUUUCAUCGGUUCCUGUGGACUGUAUGAUUGCUCUUCCUUUUGCUUUGCAGCGGGGUAUUUGAACGCUGCGUGUCCAGCCUGCGAACUGAUAGUAAGCUCAUCUACUCUCGUUGUGCUCCGUUGGAUUCUCCCUUUUUGUCCUGGCGAUUAUCGUCGUGACUCGCUUGCUCUUUGCUACUGUCGUACAGUUCACCAACACUUCCACUAUCGCUACCCAGGAAGACUGCUGCUGCCGUUAUGGUUGUUCAUGUGGAUUGAUAAUUUUCUUCCGAUAACUCGGGGUGGAUGAAUCUUCAGCUCAUGUGACCAUACUUGGUUAUAGACUGCGGCCUCGUCCGAGCUCCCCCCUCUCCACUUUUUCUCUUUUCGUGAACUGUGUGGGCUUAUGCUUGAAUACUUUUGUAUUGCUGAGCCCUUAUUGUUGUAGCUUUUACCCACACAGAUAUGAUUGAGUUGUAAUUCCAUACGACUGAUUUUUGUAUGCAUUUUCGUUUAAGGUUUGUUUAUUUUGUUUUUGAUUUCCUUUCAGGAGCUGGGGUCCCACGGGUGGUAGAUCCUUAGUGGUGGUGGUGGUGGUGCUGCUUCAACGUUUGCCGUGUGACACUUUUGAAGUGUGUGCGUGUGUGAUCUGAGUUCACGGUGUGGUGUGUAGAAGUGUGCUUUUGGAUAACUAGUGCUGGUGAUCACUCCGGUGGGUAACCUCAGCCUUGUAAGUAAGUGUUUUGUGUAUUUGUUUUUCGUGGUCAUUGGAGAGAGUGUGGCCAGAGAAUGAACCCCAUGACCAGACCAUUUCAAAUGCCUAUUCUAUUUUAAAAUUCAGUGUUUCAAUAAACUUUUG